rnacentral:rRNA from 1 species
CGAGCGAACAGAUAAGGAGCUUGCUCCUUUGACGUUAGCGGCGGACGGGUGAGUAACACGUGGAUAACCUACCUAUAAGACUGGGAUAACUUCGGGAAACCGGAGCUAAUACCGGAUAAGAUUUUGAACCGCAUGGUUCAAUAGUGAAAGACGGCCUUGCUGUCACUUAUAGAUGGAUCCGCGCCGUAUUAGCUAGUUGGUAAGGUAACGGCUUACCAAGGCAACGAUACGUAGCCGACCUGAGAGGGUGAUCGGCCACACUGGAACUGAGACACGGUCCAGACUCCUACGGGAGGCAGCAGUAGGGAAUCUUCCGCAAUGGGCGAAAGCCUGACGGAGCAACGCCGCGUGAGUGAUGAAGGUCUUCGGAUCGUAAAACUCUGUUAUCAGGGAAGAACAAACGUGUAAGUAACUGUGCACGUCUUGACGGUACCUGAUCAGAAAGCCACGGCUAACUACGUGCCAGCAGCCGCGGUAAUACGUAGGUGGCAAGCGUUAUCCGGAAUUAUUGGGCGUAAAGCGCGCGUAGGCGGUUUUUUAAGUCUGAUGUGAAAGCCCACGGCUCAACCGUGGAGGGUCAUUGGAAACUGGAAAACUUGAGUGCAGAAGAGGAAAGUGGAAUUCCAUGUGUAGCGGUGAAAUGCGCAGAGAUAUGGAGGAACACCAGUGGCGAAGGCGACUUUCUGGUCUGUAACUGACGCUGAUGUGCGAAAGCGUGGGGAUCAAACAGGAUUAGAUACCCUGG